CUUAAAUCAAGUAUUCAAAUGCAUGUGCACACAUACACGUACAUUGACAAAUAUGCACUCGUGUAUUUGUUGGAAUUAGUUUUCGCAUCAUACUGUGAACUUUAUUAUAGGAGUAUGUACACAUAUCUAAGUGCAUGUACACACGUGUAUACUAUAUAUGUACAUGCAUAUAUGUACAUAUGCACUCACGUACGAUAAAUUCAUUUUUAAUCCAACACGUUAAAGACGCAAACAAAAAGAUAAAAAAAAAAAAACCGGCAAAAAUAAUAAACUCACCUCCAUAAUUAUCCUACCGACGGGCUCGCCAUCGGCGGUCAUAUCGAAGAAUACUCUCGGUAAAGUACUCAUUUUCGAUCCCUUCGAAUAUUCGCGAACAAACUGAAUUCCAAAUUGCAACUGACCUCCGUUACUGCCAAUUCGAGCUGGGGUUAUAGAUUUUUUAGGUAAAA